UUUUCAUUCUGUGUCAUUCAACCAUAAAUGACUCAGUUCUGAUACUAUUUACCAAGCUCAGGCUGAACUCACCAGGGAGGCAGCUGUAAGACUCUCUCAUAAUGUAACAUAAUUCAGUCUCCGCAGGGCGCAGGGCGUGCACGGUGGCUGCAGGAGCCGAGGGGCUCCUCUUCAUUUCCUGAGACUCAUGUCCCCCGGCCCAAGCUCAUCCUGGGCUUGUCAUUUCCUCAUGUGAUGCCUUCUUCUGUGUCGUGAUGCAGUCAGAUGGCUUUGUCUGGUGCUGGCCCCUGGAUCUUGGACUUCUCUCAGCCCUCAGAGCUUUGCUCUCUGCCGGUGUUAUGAUCACACAAAUGAGGAAAGUAACAGACGCCCUGGGCAGUAGAGAACUGUUUGGAAUGACAAAUGAUCCUGAGACUGAACCAGGACACACAGUACAGAGGAGGCCACACUCAAAGCAAUAUGGGGCAUUAUGGACAUUUUUAGGACCACAAAUAUUACAACUGACUGGGAGACGCCUGAGCCUGGCUGUUCUAAGCCCGCUGAAGAAGUGGAUGCAAAAGAUGAAAUAUCCGCCUCAGGAACCACCAAGCCAGACCAGCUGAGUAGUCAAGGAAGAAGUGACCCGGCUUGCAGAAACUCUUCGAGGCAGAAGGGGUGAAGGGAGUGCUCCUUAAGGACUCAACGAAACACAAGAUCAGUCGUGUAAUGACAAUCGAAGCCUGGCAAGAAUGCUGCAAGAAAGGAGAGUUCUGGAAUAAUGGCACCCUUCGGUAAAACGGAAGCCAACGAACGGUAAAGUCACAAAGGGAGAACAUAAAACCACGGAGACAUGUAUCUGACUGGCUUCUUGUAAAAAAAGGUUAAGGACGUUGGGGAGUCGGAGCUAGGGGUAUAGCUCAAUGGUGGAGCUCUGGGGUCUGAUUCCAGCACACAAACCAACCAACCAGGGGGGAGGGAGGGAGUGGGGGAUGGUAAUAGAAAGCUCGAAGAAGCAGGACAUGAGGUUAAUAAAGUAACUUCAAUAAUUGGCUUUGUGCAAAAGCAAAAUACAGAGAUUAGCUGCACAGGGAGACACACUUGCAAUCCCAGAACUAGGCAGGAGGAUCAAGAGUCCAAAGCCAGCCUCAGUACAUAAUAAAUUUGAGGUUAGCCUGGGCUGCAUGAGACAUUGUCUCAAAAAGGAAAAAAAAAAGAUUAAUUACAUUUUUAUUAUGUUACACCAACAACAGAGAAACGUAGAUAAUUUAAAAAAAAAUCACCAUUUGCAGUGGUCCUUAAGAAUGAACACUAGGACAUUUUGUGAUGAAUAUAAUGCCAUCUGCCUCCCAGAUGUUAAAAAACAUAGAAAAUGGAAAGUUAUAUUGUAGUUUUGAAGACAUAAAAUAUAGAAGCUCUCUGCCAACUUGACCUGCGGAUCCCAGUCUGAAGCCCAGCCAUUGUUCUGCUUCCUCCUGAGACUGGGAGAUUUGAUGGUUAAUUUGCAAGUUGUAAAGUAGUGACACAGCACAAGGCUGCAUUUUGUAAAAGGAAAAAUUCAUGCAUUGGUGCUAUGUGGAAAUGCUAUUUUAAAAAGCCCUUCGGUGGCCCUUUAAUCUCAGCACUCAGGAGGCAGAGGCAGAUGGAUCUCUGUGAAUUCAAGGGUAGCCUGGUCUAUGAAGUAAGCCCCAGGCGACCCAGGGCUACACAGUGAGACCCUGUCUCCAAAACAAAACAAAGAAAGGCCCCAGGUAGAGUACUCAUUUUCAGUUGCUAUAUAGUGAUUAGUCCUUACUUGGUGGGGGCAGUUCUGCAGACUCGGGGCCUGUUCGGUACCGCCCACAGCAGAUAUCAAGGUGCAUAUGAGCUUGAGUUUCUGUCCAGAGGCUCUAGAGAAAAAUCCACUUCUAAGCUCUUUUUUAAAAUUGUAUUAUUUUUUUCUGGGAGGUGGGGGUGAGUGGGUGCCAAGGCGUGCAUGGGGGAUCAGAGGGUAGUUCGAGUUGGUUCUCUCCUUCCACCAUGUGGGUCCUGGGGAUUGAACUCAGGCUGCCAGGCUUGGCAACAAGCCCCUUUACCUGCCAAGCCCUCUCAUGAGUCCUUAAGCUCAUUCUUGCUGACAAAAUUCAGUUCCCUGAGUUGUAGGAACCAGGUCUUGAGUUUCUUCCCGGUUGUCACUGGAAGCAGCCACUUCCCUUGUCACACAGCACACUCAAGCCAGCCACGGAACUCAGAAAGACACUUGCAUUUUUUGAUUGCCCCAGUGUUCAUGAAGCCCACAGAGUCCAGAGCUUUGUCCUUUUCCUUUGUGCUCCUCCGGCGUUGGCUCAUGGUUUCCUAAAAUUUAGUUUCUGUGUCAAAAACAACAACAAACAAAAGAAAACCUCCAAAACUUGGAGAAUUCUGGUUUCUCUCAAAAUGUUAGAAGUUGCCCUGUGCAGGCUCCUUGCUCCUGCUGACUGAGGUGAGCAGGGCUGCCUUUCCCAGCAGCUGUGUUCUUUCCAGCUGUCCUGACAUCAGGCACCUUGUGUCUUGUGCUGCCAAAUGGUGGCAGUGUCCAAGUGGCAAACUUCAGAUCUGGAAAGCCCCUAUCACAGAGCCAGAUUGCAUGGCACUCCUCUCAUUUAAGAAAAGGGUGCAGUCGGGGAGGUGCGGGGGAGAGAAUGCGUUCAUUUUCAUUACAGCCCCGUUGUUAGAGUUGUUCUAUUUGUCACUGUGGUUAAGCUCUUAACUGUGACCAAUUUAGAAAUUAACUAGCCCUUCUGUUUAUGUCAUGGGGUUACUUUUCCUCAAACCAGAGAACACCAAGGGGCUGGGCAGAUGGCUCUUCGUGCCUUGCAAGCCUGAAGACCCAAGUUUAACGCCCAGCACACACAUCAAAAAGCCAGGCGUCGCGGCACACACCCUAACCCAGCACUGGUGAGGCAGAAGCAGGCUAACCAGCUUGGUGUAAUCAGAGAGCCCCAGACCAGUUAGAGACCCUGUCUCAAAGACCAAGGUGAACAGCACCUGAAACCAAUCGCCAAAGUUGACCUCUGGCUUCCACACGCAAAGGCCAUGUAUAGUUACACCAACAUGUAUGUACCCCCACACGCCUGUGUGCAUGGGGUGUGGGAGGGUACCAGAAACUACAUUUCUGCCUCUUGCUACGCAAAGCUGUGAGUCUCAAAUACUUACGAUUUCUCUUUCCCAUAGUCAACCGAACAAUUUGUUCUGUGAGCAGACAGACAUGCCAGAGGCACCAAGUCAUCGGAGUCCCUCUCUCCUGGUACAUGUGAUGAUGACAAAUGAGAGUCUCAACAUUUUUGAUAUGUAAUAUUCUCUCCUUGCCACAGUAUCAGUUUCUAAGCUUUCAGUUACCCAAAGUCAACUAUCGUCUGAAAAUGUUCAUGGAAAUUGCAGAAAUAAAUAACUCACGAAUUUAA